UACGAAGGGGGCUAGCGUUGUUCGGAAUUACUGGGCGUAAAGCGCACGUAGGCGGAUAUUUAAGUCAGGGGUGAAAUCCCGGGGCUCAACCCCGGAACUGCCUUUGAUACUGGGUAUCUCGAGUCCGAGAGAGGUGAGUGGAAUUCCGAGUGUAGAGGUGAAAUUCGUAGAUAUUGGGAAGAACACCGGUGGCGAAGGCGGCUCACUGGCUCAUUACUGACGCUCAGGCGCGAUAGCGUGGGGAUCAAACAGG
rnacentral:rRNA from 1 species